rnacentral:ncRNA from 1 species
AAAGAUCGAUAUCGAGGAGGGCACGACGCCCCGGAGACACCCCUGCUUAGUCAGGCAGUCUGUACCGCGUACAGCCUGAAACUCCCUAAACCUCAACAAUCAGCCACUCCGGCGUGAAGGUAUCGUUCU